rnacentral:lncRNA from 1 species
AGAGCUUCUCGUAUUCGGAACUCGCCCGGGCAACCACCAACUUUGCGCCAGAACAAAAGCUAGGAAGAGGAGGAUUCGGAGACGUUUACAGAGGAACCUUAACCCAGCCGAAAAUGGUGGUAGCCAUCAAGAGAGUGGCAAAAGACUCGAGGCAGGGAAAGGAGUAUGUCGCCGAGGUGAAGGUCAUCAGCCGCGUGCGCCACCGCAACCUCGUGCAGCUCGUGGGGUGGUGCCACGAGAAGGGGGACCUGCUUCUCGUCUAUGAGUACAUGCCCAACGGCAGCCUCGACGCCCACCUCUACGGCGGCGGUAGUCCUCUGUCGUGGCCGACGAGGUACAGCAUCGCUCGGGGUGUCGCGGCGGCGCUGCUUUACCUCCACGAAGAGUCGGAGCAGUGCGUGGUGCACAGGGACGUCAAGUCGAGCAAUGUGAUGCUGGACACCAAUUUCAACGCCAAGUUAGGGGAUUUCGGCCUUGCGAGGCUCGUGGACCACGGCGGCGGCAUGGAGACGACGGCCGUGGCUGGGACGAUGGGGUACCUGGCGCCGGAAACCGCGACGACGGGUAGGGCGAGCAAGGAGUCGGACGUCUACAGCUUCGGGGUGCUGGCCUUGGAGAUCGCCUGCGGGAGGAGACCCAUCGAUUACGGCAAUAAAGAGGAUCGGGUUAGUCUCGUUGACUGGGUUUGGGAUCUCUACGGGAAGGGCGCCGUUUUGGAGGGGGCGGACGAGAAGCUGGGCUCGGACUACAACCGGCAGGAGAUGGAGCGGCUGAUGGUGGUGGGGCUGUGCUGCGCCCACCCGGACCACCUGCAACGGCCGUCGAUGCGGCAGGUGAUUGGCAUUCUUCUUUUCGAAAUGCCAUUGCCAAAUCUUCCGGUCCAGAUGCCGGAGCCGUCCUACGGAGGGGUUUCCGUUUCUAGGUCCAACCUGGCCACCAUCAACGGGUGGUCGUCGCCUCCGUCGAUUCAGCUGGCUUCCACUGACAGCAAACCACUUCCGUAUCCGCCCGUCAGGUAAAGCCAUCAGAUUCAACGUUUUCGUUUUAUUCUUCGAUUUACUCUUGGCUUGUCUUUUUAGGCGGUCGUCGCAUUAACGGGUCCAGCGACUGGGCUGACCAUUUCUCACCAAAACGGCCGUCGACCGACAGAUCUCAGUGCACGCUCCAACUCUCCCAUUAACAACCACUCGGUCCUUAGAGGUGUUAAUAAGUAGAACCUCUCUUCUCUACUUCAGUGUACUAUUUGACAGUUGUGAAGAGAAGUUCAACGUAGAUAUCUAAGGGCCUAAUCGAAGUUUUGAAGGCCAUGAUUAGAUAUCUAUUUUCUGAGUUCUUGAUGAGAGUUUUCUUGUGAUCUUAUCAUAUCUAACUAAAGCUUUCGUCAUUGUUUUUCGUAGACAAAAGAAGAGGUAUAUGGAACCAUGUUAAAGUGUUUUAUGCUAGUACCCUAUUAUGAGUUGAUCACAUCAUGUAGAUUGCAUAAACAAUAUUUUGCUAGUACCCUACUAUGGGUUUUGUUCACCUAUUUUUUUUGCUUUAUUUCAUUACUCCUAGGUGAGUUCAUGACUCCUCCACACCUUUCACUAGAACAUGGACCAGAUCUGCAUAAUCGACUAAGAGAGGAGAUCAAUUCAACCUGUCUAAGUUUAUCUUUUCUUUCAUAUCAGCUUUUAGGUGGCUGUGACUCCCAACUCUCUCUAGUGUAAGAGGAUUCCUCUCGUUUACCCUUAAAAUUCACAGGCAACACUACUGCGGAUUUGAGUUUGGCAAGAAGUGAACUCGAUGAGCUCCAAAAGAGUAAAAGGAAAAUAUGUUGUAAGUAGGGAGAAAGUACGUCCAGAUAUGGAGGAGAAGAGGGCUGGAAUAGAGGAUGGACGGGAGUUCGUGGAACAAAAUAAGCCCUCAAAAUCAAAUUUCUUGAGUUGUUUACAACCAAAUAGAGAGGGUUUUAUCUGAAGGUAGAGAACUUAAUUCAAAAUUGAUUAAAAACAAAAAAAAGAAGGAAGAGACUAAAACUCAUGAUUUCUAGAUAUUAAUAUGCAUACUCAACUAUAAACUCAUGAGAUGCAGUUAGGAAUCUAACUUAAUGUUUUCCUUCAAACUAGUUACAUUGAUAUUGAUGAUAUUUCUCAAUUGUUGUCCUUACAUGGCAUCUAAAGAUGCUGCAUUAACAUGAAGCCGUACCUAGGUCAAUACAUACAUUUUAACAAUAUGGGAAUUUUUUUUAUUAAAGUCAAUACCUUUCUCUUUGCAUAAACCUUUCACAACUAAUUUAGUCUUGUACUUUAGAUGUAAAGGUUAUCAUUGAGUCUUCAGCUUGAAAGUUCAUUUGUUCUCUAUGGCUUUCAUCCCCUUUGAUAGUUAUACUAGAUCAUGUAUGUGGUUUUUCUACAAUGCCUCCAUUUCUUCACACAUUGCUACUAGCCACUUAAUUUUAAGCUCAAUUUCAACUACCUUUCGGUAACUAUCUAGUUCGCCUACAUCAGUAAGUAUAAUAUAUUUACCUAGAGGAUGAAUUUUAGAAGGUUUUAUAUGAUCCAAGAAAAAUUAUAGAUGAGUCUUCAUGGGAGAAUGUUCCUUCACUUCUCCAUGCUCAUCAUGUUGAUAGACUCCUAAGUACCCAAGUCCCUUGUCGCCAGAAACGGAGCAAAAGAAAGGAACGGAUUGCCAGAGCGGAAGACCAGCGCCCAACAUGAGUAAGUUUUGGGCCAGAAAUGAUGGGCCCAGAUGGAGGGCUUGGGCUGGUUAAGGCCUGACCAGUCAACAGCCAACUGUCACAGCGACAGUUUAAAUACUAGAGCAAGAGAUCGAGCGGGAGGAGAGAAAAAUCAAGAUUCUUCUACCCCAUCUGCCUCGACGUUUCACUCUGUCUGUCUGUCUGUCUGUCUCUCUCUCUCUCUCUCUCUCCCUCUCUCUCUCUCUGUUUCGCUCUCUAUUUCUCUCUCUCUUUCUUUCGUCAUGAUCUCGGCUAGAUCUGCUGUUCAUCAACAUCCUUGCUGCCUGAUCCUUUACCUCCUUCUGCAUUGUCUUUCCGGAGUUCGGAAAUGAUUGCUCUCGAGAUCAGGAACUAGUAAUUCUUGCAUUUCAAGAAAUUGAGAAAGGUGAUUGCGUACGUAAUACUUCUUCUUGUUCUCUGAAAUUCUUGUGUCUAAAAUCUUAAUAUCUUAUUUUGAGUAAAUUUCUUGAUAUCCUUCUGUUCUAUCUUUGAAUCAUUGGUUGAACUUCAACCGUUCCCUCCAAAUUUAUAUUGAUUGUGAGGAAUAUAAAAAAAGGAGAUCCUAUCACAUGUCUUAUAGGCAAGUUUGCAUCAAUUUCACUUAUAUCAUGUCCAUAGUAUUAGAAAGGCAGCAGCUGGAUGACGGGCAGCGGUGGAAAUAGUCGGACGGAAGAAGUGGUGGCAGAUGGAUAUUGGCCCUCAGGACCUCUCCUUCGGAGCGAAGAUGGUUGACCCUCACGGCCUCUCCCUCAUGGAGCAGACACAAGUAGUUCCUCAGAAUAAUCUCUUAUCUGGAGAUGGUCGCAAGACCUCGCCGCUCCUAGUUAGAAGCUCCACCUUUGUCUCUAUCUGGUCGUUGUCGCCAUCUGUCGUCGCCUCCACCACUGCCUUCGCUGCCACCGCCAUCUUCCUCGUCUUCUGCCGUCGUCUUCUUCCUCGUCGUCCACCACCAUAGGGGCGCGAGACAACUCUCUCUAAGGAGCUCGGCAAAAUAGCCCCGUAACUUCGGGAGAAGGGGUGCCUCCUCACAAAGGGGGUUGCAGCGACCAGGCCUGGGCGACUGCCGCCACUAUUUUGUAUAUGUCCGCUUCGGCCUCCGACACUCUUGGUCCGCCACUAUCUCUACCUUCAUUGCCGUCGCCUCCAUCCCGUCGCCGACCACCUCAUCGCCGCCGCCGGCUGUCCAAGAUCAACCCCAUUCUGUCGUCGCCGCCACCAUCCCUUCCCGCUUCUUCCACUGCCAUUGUCGCCCUUCCCAACCUUUGUUCCUCUGGUGAUCUGUUCCGCCGGUUUCUUUCCCAAUUAGGGCUUAAAGGCCCCGAUUCGUGGGUCCCAAUCUACUGGUUGAACUCGUUCGGUGAUCUCGACCAGGCCACCCUCCGAUGCGAGCCCCAUUGGUCUGAACGAACCCGCCACAGGUUCGAGCCAACGUGGACAAUUGGGUCCACGUCGUUCUCCCGCGCCAGGCCGAGCCAUUCUGACCAUCUGGUCCACGUCGGGCAUCCCGUCCAGCUGGAGCCAAGACUCAAUCAAAUUUCUACGACAUAGUGAAUGAUCAAUUAUCUAGGCAACGGUCAACAGCGUGGUCAAAAGUCAACUAUUAAUAUUCUGCAACCAAUAGUCUCUCUUCUCAGUCCUUUCCAAGGUAAGUAGUUCUCACGCAUCAUAUAUCUCUGCUCAUUUAAUAUAUUCUUAUUGCGAUUGUCCGAGGGUGACUAUAGUGUAACCAUAUGUUUCUGAGUUUAAUGAGCAUAGUAUAACGACUGGUGACUUUUCUGAGCUACCCGAUCACGGCUGUCCUUGUAGAAACACAGCCGUCACGAGGGCCCUCGGCCGUCAACCUUGUGGGAAGAAAUGUACCCGUCAGACCUCAGCUUUCCUCCUGCCCGUGGACAGCGUAGAGGUCAACGUGGACAGGCCACAUGCACUGAAUGCAAUUAAACGUGUUUAAACAUUGUACCCCGUCAGUCUUCAUUUUUGUAAAGAUUUCAAGGAUCUUCCAUGGAAAAUCUAAAAGCUCAACGAAUUAUCUUUGAUGCGAAGUGGAAGUGAAAAGGAUCGAGUAGUUUAAGAAAACCAUUUGAUGUAGAAUGCUCAACGAUUUUAUAGUUCAGAAAAUGUUUAAUACCACAGUUUAACAAUACACUGAAUAUGUAAAGUGGCUAUCGUAUGAUCUCUCAACCCACUAUAACAAGAAAGUAUAUUAAAUGAACAAAUGAAAUAGAGAAAUAAGAAGAUAUACUUGAACAUUGAAAAUAACGGUUGACCAUUGACCAAUAUAUUUGACCUUUUAUCUGUUUACCGAUGACUUGUCCUUGUUGACGGUUGACUGUGGAUGACCAAUCAGCUGCAGCGGCUCACAGCUAAGGGGUGGACCUGACUUGGUCCCAGUGGCUGGAUGGCUUUCGCCAGACGGUUUGGAUCGCGGCUGGCUAAAAGGUGUAAGUGUUGGUGGGCGGCUGGAAAUGGGCCAGGUAAAAUCAAGCCCUAGCCGUAAGAGGAGGGGCCAUCAGGAGGCGGCGGGAGAGGGGAAAGAGGGGUCGGUGGCGACGGCAGGCGGAGGCUGCAGCCGGUGGCGAGGGGAUGGCAGGCAGCGGCGGGCGGCGGAAAGGUGAGAGCUGGCGGCAAGGCCAUGGCUGGUAGCGGCAGGCGGUGGCAGGCGUCGGGAAGACGACGGCUGGCGGUGGCGGGAGGUAAUGGCGGCGAGCAGUGGCCGGCAGCGACGGGCGGAGGAUGAUGCGACUGGAAGGUGGUGGCGAUGCAGGCCGCGGCGGUACAAUGGCGAUAGAAGAAAGGGAAGGUGGGGGAGGGAAUGGUGCUCCAGACCAAGAGUGGCGGGGUCCUCUGACCAACCCAAGCCGGGGUGACGGGAUCUUACGAUCAGUUAAGAUAAGGAACUAAUCCUCAAAACUCCAUUUUUAAUUCUCCUUAAAUCAAAGGUCUGAAGGCCGAUUUAUAAGCCUUUCUACAGUGAAAUCUUAGUCAGUCAAUAAUGAAGGAAAUCUUCUAUUGCAAGGCAUUUGUUUUGAUGGCUUAAUCGGCGCGUAGCCGGAUCAAGGGCGUCGUCCACACCUUCUAUGUUGGUCAUUCCCCCAAUUUGAUUCAAAUCACCUUCCUUGAUCAAGAGAUGGUUUGGGCGCGCUGCAUCAAUCCCCCACCGCAAAAAGCGGUCCUCGUGGCCACGGCAGGGUUGGUUGGUGAUCCUCACCGUCCUUCCGGGAAAAGACCUCGCGACUUACCCCUUGUCCCCUUCGAGGACGAUGGAACCUUCGUGUGGCGGCUCCGGUAGGUCAACUUGGGGCUGGAUGGUCGCCGCCUUUCUUGAAAGCCUCACCGGAACACGCGUAGACCGAAGCGAUUAUCGCUUCAUUAUUUAGGGGCGCCGCCACCCACUCGCCCAUCAGGAGGAGCGCUCGAAUUUAAUAAACGAGCGGUUACUGUCACGAUAACAAGGCCGAGAACUUACAAAAUGUUUCAUAGCCAGAGUGCCGUGACGGCUUUCGCACCUUACAGCGGCCUUGUGGAGGCCCCAACCCACCUCCACGGAAAUCAUCGUUGAGCCAUGCCGCCGGGCGCCUCCAUCGCCUCUUUGCUCCUCCUGCUCGCCUUCGUCCUCGAGGCGCGAGGGGAGACGGUGACCACCUCUUUCAACUUCCCCAGUUUCGAUUCCAGCCCCACAGACAUCACCUUCCUGGCCGAUGCCUCAUCCGCCAACGGAUCCCUAGAGCUCAACUUGAACGCCGGAUACAGCCUCGGCCGAGCCAUCUACUCGAAACCAAUCCGCCUCUGGGACAACGAAACCAAGAGUCUUGCAAGCUUCACCACAAACUUCUCUUUCUCCGUGAUCCGGCGUCCGAACACGACGGAUAACGGCGAUGGGUUAGCCUUCUUCCUCGCCCCCGUCGGCUACCCUAUUCCGGAGAACAGCACGGGUGGUUCAUUCACGCUCUUCAACCGCUCAUGUGUAGACCAACCCGCAAAGGUCCCCGUAGUAGCCGUCGAGUUCGACACCUUCCAAAACAGAGGAGAAGACGCGGCCCCCCAUGUGGGGAUCGACCUCGGCUGCUACAAGUCGAUUAGGAGCUCGAUUUGGGAGUCGCUCGAGGGUCAGACCAGUGUCACGAUCGACGCAGUGAUCACCUAUGAUGCAGGCACCACCACGCUGACAGCCUUCUUCUCCGGCAGGAGCGGCUACAUCAGGACCCUACCUUACGUCGUCGACCUGAGAAACGAGCUUCCCGAAAGGGUUGACAUUGGUUUCGCUGGCGCCACUGGUGAUUUCUUCGAACGCCAUGUGAUACAUUCCUGGAGCUUCAAUUCGAGCCUGGAUGUCGCCGUCCGUAACGGCAACACUACAAACGGAGGCGACGCGGGAGGGGGCGGCAUCAACGCUCCUCCGGACCCCCCUCCGAGCAAGAAGAAAAGCAGCAUCGGCCUACUGGCUGGUGUGCUUGCUGGCGCGGGAACCUUGGCAAUCGCAGCGGGUUUGGCACUCUUCUUCGUCCGGCGAAGAAGGGCAUAUGCCAAGAAUGGAGGACAGGACGACGUCAUCAACGACAGCGAACUUGACGAAGGCAAGGGGCCCAAGACCUUCUCUUAUUCGGAACUCGCCCGGGCAACAAGCAACUUUGCGCCAGAACAAAAGCUAGGAAGAGGAGGAUUCGGAGACGUUUACAGAGGAACCUUAACCCAGCCGAAAAUGGUGGUGGCCAUCAAAAGAGUGGCAAAAGACUCGAGGCAGGGAAAGAAGGAGUAUGUCGCCGAGGUGAAGGUCAUCAGCCGCGUGCGCCACCGCAACCUCGUGCAGCUCGUGGGGUGGUGCCACGAGAAGGGGGAGCUGCUUCUCGUCUAUGAGUACAUGCCCAACGGCAGCCUCGACGCCCGCCUCUACGGCGGUGGCAAUCCGCUGCCGUGGCCGACGAGGUACAGCAUCGCCCGGGGGGUCGCGGCGGCGCUGCUUUACCUCCACGACGAGUCGGAACAGUGCGUCGUCCACAGGGACGUCAAGUCGGACAAUGUGAUGCUGGACGCCAAUUUCAACGCCAAGUUAGGGGAUUUCGGCCUUGCGAGGCUCGUGGACCACGGCGGCGGCAUGGAGACGACGGCCGUGGCUGGGACGAUGGGGUACCUGGCGCCGGAGACCGCGACGACGGGGAGGGCGAGCAAGGAGUCGGACAUCUACAGCUUCGGGGUGCUGGCCUUGGAGAUCGCCUGCGGGAGGAGACCCAUCGAUCACGGCAAUAAAGAGGGACGAGUUAGUCUCGUCGACUGGGUGUGGGAUCUCUACGGGAAGGGCGCCGUUGUGGAGGGGGCGGACGAG